AAAGAAAAAAAAGAGAUUGAGAUCGUGAGUUUGUUUGCUUGUCGUUAGAGAGUGAGACACGUUCCUUUCUUUUUUUUUUUUUUUCAGAGUCUUUUGCCAAUGUGUGUG
rnacentral:ribozyme from 14 species